UACGUAGGGACCGAGCGUUGUCCGGAAUCAUUGGGCGUAAAGAGCGUGUAGGCGGCCACUUAAGUCCUGCGUGAAAUCUUGCGGCUCAACCGCAAGCGGUCGUGGGAAACUGGGUGGCUAGAGUGCGGGAGAGGAGAGUGGAAUUCCUGGUGUAGCGGUGGAAUGCGCAGAUAUCAGGAAGAACACCCGUGGCGGAAGGCGGCUCUCUGGAACGCAACUGACGCUGAGACGC
rnacentral:rRNA from 1 species